AUGUACCACAGUUUGAUUCAUUAGUUGCAAGGCCAAAAUUAAAUGUAACUAGAAUUGCAAAGAAAACUAAUUGAAUGUUAGGAGUAGAACUACAUAUGGUCUAGCUAGUAAUAAUAAAAUGAAAAAUAAACCUAUUGAUAGACAAUUUUUAAUUUGUGCAUGUGGUUCCACCUUCAAAUUGACUUAAGCGAAAGGUUUAUAAAAACCUAUCUUUGGGUUUGCAACAGGUUCGUGGUGGUUUUCAUGGUGGAAGUUUUGUCAUGAAACCACUGUAAUUUCAUAAAUAAAAUAUUAUCAUUAAUCGUUGCUCAAAUUUUAGUUACCCAAUUGGAUUACACUUUUGUUGGGAUUUGACUUCAUCAUAAAACUCCGCCCCUGAACUUUGGAGCCAUAUUUGUAAUUUCUAUGACGAAGCUUGCCUACAGGAAAGUAAACGGCAAAGAUGAUAUUUUGACUUUGCCCAAGAAGAUUCGACUUCGCUACAAAUAAAGAAAAGACUAGAACAAGUCACAAGCGAAGACAAGAUUUUGACCUCGCUUGAUAAGCGAAGUCAGGAGAAGAUGAAAAAGAAUCGACAAAGCCUGAAGUCAACUUCUUUAGAAAGAUUGGCAAGUACAAGUUGAAGAAUGAAGCCUAGAAUAGUGAAAUAAACAACGUCACCAUGUAGUUUAAAGGGGUUGUAUUGAUCAAAAAGAGGGGUAAAAUGGUUAUUUGUAUGUAAAGACUAAGACCUCUAUAAAUACCCCAAAUAUAUAAAGAAGGGCCAUGAAAUGAAUACAACUUUUCACUUGUGUUCCAACUUGGUGUUUGUGUGAUUGUGUUCAAGCCCCACAGUGGGCCCUAAUAUUGGGAAAGUGGUUCCGAAUAGGUUUGGGAGAGGAGAGUGGAAGGAGGUGGCU
rnacentral:lncRNA from 1 species